UACACAUGCAAGUCGAACGGAAAGGCCUAAGCUUGCUUGGGUACUCGAGUGGCGAACGGGUGAGUAACACGUGAGUGAUCUGCCCUCAACUUCGGGAUAAGCCUGGGAAACUGGGUCUAAUACUGGAUAGGACCAUCCUUUAGUGUGUGAUGGUGGAAAGUUUUUUCGGUUGGGGAUGAGCUCGCGGCCUAUCAGCUUGUUGGUGGGGUAAUGGCCUACCAAGGCGUCGACGGGUAGCCGGCCUGAGAGGGUGUACGGCCACAUUGGGACUGAGACACGGCCCAGACUCCUACGGGAGGCAGCAGUGGGGAAUAUUGCACAAUGGGCGGAAGCCUGAUGCAGCGACGCCGCGUGAGGGAUGACGGCCUUCGGGUUGUAAACCUCUUUCGACAGGGACGAAGCUUUUGUGACGGUACCUGUAUAAGAAGCACCGGCUAACUACGUGCCAGCAGCCGCGGUAAUACGUAGGGUGCGAGCGUUGUCCGGAAUUACUGGGCGUAAAGAGCUCGUAGGUGGUUUGUCGCGUCGUCUGUGAAAUUCCGGGGCUUAACUCCGGGCGUGCAGGCGAUACGGGCAUAACUUGAGUGCUGUAGGGGAGACUGGAAUUCCUGGUGUAGCGGUGAAAUGCGCAGAUAUCAGGAGGAACACCGAUGGCGAAGGCAGGUCUCUGGGCAGUAACUGACGCUGAGGAGCGAAAGCAUGGGGAGCGAACAGGAUUAGAUACCC
rnacentral:rRNA from 1 species